GAGCACUGAACAUUUCUCUCAAAUACACUCAAGAACACACUCAUUUCCUUUUUCUUUUCUCUCUAAAAUCUGAGUUUGGACUUAGAAAUAAAAAAAAUAAAAAAAGGGUUUUGGGAGCUAUUCCUUCUGUACUGCUGAUGCUUGUGCUGCUCUGUUGAACUUGGCUUCAUACUUGAUUUUCUAACAUUUAUUUGGUCUUUUAUUUGUUGUUUUCUUCCAUUAGGUAUGUAUAAAUUUGCCUAUUAGCUUCCUGUUAAAAUUAUGAAUAAAGUUUGGAUUAUUUGAAGUUAUUUGUGUUUGAUUCCAUUACUGUAUUCUAUUGCAAUCGAUUAUGUGUAAAUUUCUGGUUUUGGAUGCUCAUCUGAACUAAAUAUGGUGAUUCUAUUUGUUUCAUGAAUUGCUUACACAAUUGUUCAGUAUCGUUGCAUAGGUCUAAUAUCACAGAUUCAUUGUUGUUUUGGCUUACAAGUUUAUGUGCUAUGAAUCAUCUUAUAAUCAACUGUUGUUAGUUUAUGAUGGUUUAUUCUUUGAAAAUUAGUUGUUCAUACUCCAAAUGAUAUCUAAACUAAUGGACUAAUCAAAUUUGUUGCAUUGUCAUUUAGCUGAUAAGCAUGACAGAUCUGAUUUAUAAGAGUAGUCCACUGGCUAUUUUCUUAUAACUCAGAGGUCUGCCCCAAGGAACAAGAGGCGUACAUUGCAAGAGUAGCUCAUUUGUGAAGCUGUGAUAGAUAUAACGAUUUUCCAACUUUAUUUCCUUGAUUGUUUCUUGUAAG
rnacentral:lncRNA from 1 species